rnacentral:rRNA from 1 species
ACGAACGCUGGCGGCGUGCUUAACACAUGCAAGUCAAGGGGGUUGGAGCAAUCCAGCAACCGGCGAACGGGUGCGUAACACGUGAGCGACCUACCCAGUGAUGGGGGAUAGCCGGCCCAACGGCCGGGUAAUACCGCAUACGCGUCUUCGGGGGCCUCCCUGGGGACGGAAACCUACGGGGUCAUUGGAGGGGCUCGCGGCCUAUCAGCUAGUUGGCGAGGUAACGGCUCACCAAGGCGAUGACGGGUAGCUGGUCUGAGAGGAUGGCCAGCCACAUUGGGACUGAGAGACGGCCCAGACUCCUACGGGAGGCAGCAGUGGGGAAUCUUGCGCAAUGGCCGAAAGGCUGACGCAGCGACGCCGCGUGGAGGAUGACGCCCUUCGGGGUGUAAACUCCUGUUGCCCGGGACGAAUACCUGUUUCGACAGGGGUGACGGUACCGGGUGAGGAAGCACCGGCUAACUCUGU